rnacentral:rRNA from 1 species
GACGUGCUUGCACUGAAUGAGAUUUUAACACGAAGUGAGUGGCGGACGGGUGAGUAACACGUGGGUAACCUGCCCAGAAGCAGGGGAUAACACCUGGAAACAGAUGCUAAUACCGUAUAACAGAGAAAACCGCCUGGUUUUCUUUUAAAAGAUGGCUCUGCUAUCACUUCUGGAUGGACCCGCGGCGCAUUAGCUAGUUGGUGAGGUAACGGCUCACCAAGGCGAUGAUGCGUAGCCGACCUGAGAGGGUAAUCGGCCACAUUGGGACUGAGACACGGCCCAGACUCCUACGGGAGGCAGCAGUAGGGAAUCUUCCACAAUGGACGCAAGUCUGAUGGAGCAACGCCGCGUGAGUGAAGAAGGGUUUCGGCUCGUAAAGCUCUGUUGUUAAAGAAGAACGUGGGUGAGAGUAACUAUUCACCCAGUGACGGUAUUUAACCAGAAAGCCACGGCUAACUACGUGCCAGCAGCCGCGGUAAUACGUAGGUGGCAAGCGUUAUCCGGAUUUAUUGGGCGUAAAGCGAGCGCAGGCGGUCUUUUAAGUCUAAUGUGAAAGCCUUCGGCUCAACCGAAGAAGUGCAUUGGAAACUGGGAGACUUGAGUGCAGAAGAGGACAGUGGAACUCCAUGUGUAGCGGUGAAAUGCGUAGAUAUAUGGAAGAACACCAGUGGCGAAGGCGGCUGUCUGGUCUGUAACUGACGCUGAGGCUCGAAAGCAUGGGUAGCGAACAGGAUUAGAUACCCUGGUAGUCCAUGCCGUAAACGAUGAUUACUAAGUGUUGGAGGGUUUCCGCCCUUCAGUGCUGCAGCUAACGCAUUAAGUAAUCCGCCUGGGGAGUACGACCGCAAGGUUGAAACUCAAAAGAAUUGACGGGGGCCCGCACAAGCGGUGGAGCAUGUGGUUUAAUUCGAAGCUACGCGAAGAACCUUACCAGGUCUUGACAUCUUCUGCCAACCUAAGAGAUUAGGCGUUCCCUUCGGGGACAGAAUGACAGGUGGUGCAUGGUUGUCGUCAGCUCGUGUCGUGAGAUGUUGGGUUAAGUCCCGCAACGAGCGCAACCCUUAUUACUAGUUGCCAGCAUUCAGUUGGGCACUCUAGUGAGACUGCCGGUGACAAACCGGAGGAAGGUGGGGACGACGUCAAAUCAUCAUGCCCCUUAUGACCUGGGCUACACACGUGCUACAAUGGAUGGUACAACGAGUUGCGAAACCGCGAGGUUUAGCUAAUCUCUUAAAACCAUUCUCAGUUCGGACUGUAGGCUGCAACUCGCCUACACGAAGUCGGAAUCGCUAGUAAUCGCGGAUCAGCAUGCCGCGGUGAAUACGUUCCCGGGCCUUGUACACACCGCCCGUCACACCAUGAGAGUUUGUAACACCCAAAGCCGGUGGGGUA